UACAAGAGGAUUAUCUUCAAGCAUGGGGAGAGUUUUUCUAUUUUUCAAAUGUUUAGAUAUAUAAGACCGGCUUAUGAUAUCAGUAAAUUGAAAAUUGAGGUUCAUUCUCGUAGUGAGGAGCUUCAGCUUGGAGUGGAUGAGAGUUAUUCGUUAUUCGUGGAUAAGAAUGAUGGGCAGUCAAUUAUUGCGGAAGCGACCAUUGAGGCAAAUACUGUCUAUGGUGCACUGAGAGGGUUGGAGACCUUCAGCCAACUAUGUAUGUUUGAUUAUGGAACUAAAUCUGUACAAAUCUACAAGGCACCAUGGUACAUUCAAGACAAACCAAGAUUUUCGUAUCGUGGGCUUUUGCUUGGUGAGCCACAUUUCUUCUACAGAGGAAGAAAGUAAAAUUGCAAAAUUUUCAUCCAACAUAAUUUUGUGUUGGAAUAUUAUUCAAUUGCCUUCUUAACACAUACUUUUGCAGAUACAUCGAGGCAUUAUUUACCAAUAACUGUCAUUAAGCAGAUAAUUGAAUCCAUGUCAUAUGCUAAACUUGUAAGAUAUGCUAUUGGGAGUUCUGUAUUUCAUCAUUAGAAUUAAGUGGAGCAUUCAUUUAUUCAUUAUGCCAUCCCUUUUAUUCUUUUAUUAUUCUGCAUGUAAUACUGAUUUUGGAUAUUACAUUAUUAGAAUGUCCUUCAUUGGCACAUUAUAGAUGAGCAGUCAUUUCCUAUAGAAAUACCAACAUAUCCAAAAUUGUGGGAAGGUUCAUAUACAAAGUGGGAGCGGUACACAGUGGAGGAUGCCUAUGAAAUUGUAAAGUAAGAUUUGUACUGAUUAUUCUGUUAUCAAGCAAACAUUAAGUUGGCAUUUAAGAAAAGAGAAAAAGAAAUGUUAAUGGUAUGAACUUAAGCUCUAAGUGAAUGAGACAAAUAUUUGGAUAAACAAUUGGCAUUUUUUUGUGGUUGUACAUUUUCUUCUUCUUCUUCUCGUUCUCCUCCUCCUCCUCCACUCUCUUUUUCUCACUUCCCCGUUCUGUCUUCUUAUCUUUCUCAUUUUAUUGUAUGUCAUUCUUUCCUUCUGCAUAUUCUAACACCUAUUUUACUUUUUAUUUUUUAAUGUUUCCAUGUAUCAUCAACAUGAAGCUUUGCCAAGUUAAGAGGCAUCAAUGUAAUGGCAGAAAUUGAUGUCCCUGGUCAUGCUGAAUCAUGGGGCAUGGGAUAUCCUGAUCUUUGGCCUUCUGCUUCAUGUAGGGAGCCACUGGAUGUUGCAAAAAAUUUUACCUUUGAUGUGAUAUCUGGCAUUUUGACAGGUUAAGUUUCUUUUACUCCUUUUUCUGGAUAGGUGUUUAGGUUACUUUAUACAUGACUUAUUUUGGUGAUAUUUAUCUUUUCUAAUUUUUGCAUUUAUGUGCAACAUGAUACAUGCUUGUGAUACAUAGUUCUGGAGAUUAUUGGUCGAGAAAAUUAGCUGGAUUUUGGCUUGGUUGAUAAUUAUGUGGAAGUUGGCUAUUAUAUUUUUUGUAAGACAAUUUAUGGAGGUUGUAAUCUUUGGUGAAGUUAUGAGACCAUCGACUUUGUCAAUCAAAUGUUUUAUGCCCAUUGAAAUAAUUUUGUUUUCAUUGUUUUUGGAUUUUGUUUCAUCUCCUUCUCUUUUUUUUAUAAUUUUUUUCUUACAGACAUGAGAAAAAUCUUCCCUUUUGAGCUCUUCCACUUGGGUGGUGAUGAGGUUAACACAGAUUGUUGGAACUCUACUUCACAUGUGAAACAAUGGCUUCAGGAUCGCAACUUGACUACCAAGGAUGCAUAUCAAUAUUUUGUACUUAGAGCUCAAGAAAUAGCAAUUUCCAAAGGUUGGACCCCUGUCAACUGGUAUGCUUUCAUCAGUAAACUUGUUAUUAGCAUUUCGAAAAGUUGGUUUCUCUUCUGGACUUUCCUGUCCAAAAUUCCUAUUGAAAUUUAAUUAUGAAAUAUUGUGUUGCUUAUAUGUGAAUCAAUCAAAUAACUUUUUCAUCAUUUCAUUAAUUGAACUUUAGUUAAUCAAUGAAACAUGCUUGUUAGACCUGCACCUGCCUAGCCAAUUGGAUUUUCCAGACUGAGAUCCAAAAGGCCCAAGGGCCUGGUUUUGCUAUCUUCAAACUAGGGUUGUGCACGAUUCCUAGUUCUUCCAAACCAAACCGAAAAGAACUAGAACCAAACCGAAUUUAUUUUACAGUUUUGGUAUGAUUUUGAUUCUUCAUCAAUAACCGAACCAAAUUGUAUCAUUUUAUACAUGUUUUAUUGUAUUUUUUUGGAACCUUAAAAUAUGAUUAUUAGCUUAAACCUUCAAUAUUCAUAAGUUUUAUAAUAACUAUAAUGAAAAUUUAAUUGUAUAGUAUUUUAUGUUGUCAAGUCUUUAUAAUGGUGGGUCAUUUGUAUAAAUUGAAAUUUUAAAUUGAUUGUUAUUGAUUACAAAAAAGGGGUCUUAAUAGUCAUUUGGUGGUUUGUCAGCCAUCACAUGGUGCCCAUAUGGGCCCUGCAAGUAUUAAAAAAUUUUUUUGUCUGGUGAGGUGGUGAGAAUCAAAAAAUAAAACCGGAUUGAAUCAAAUUUCAGUUUGAUUCUGUGUCUGUUCCAAUUCUUGAAUUUUUUGAGAACCCAAAUUUGGUGCAGUUCUGGGGAUUUUCAAUCCUCGAAUCAAGCUAUGCACAAUGCU
rnacentral:misc_RNA from 1 species